AACACGAAUCCCAAGCCCCUUGCCAUCUCUCUCUCUCCUCACGCCUUGCAAGCAAGAGAGAAGACCGCAGUAUAGAGAGAGAGAGAGAGAGUGAUCGUUCUUUUCCCCCUUUAGCUCACAGAUUUGCAGAGCAUCCUUUCCUCCUCAAGCUCACAAGAACUCCGCAUCUCUGUCCGCUGUUAAUCCAAGCAUUCCCCUCUUCAUCACGGCAUUGAUCUAACCCGAGUACUUGAUCGGAGAUCACCGCCCGCCUUCGCCGGUCGCGCUGGAAGGCGUCGAGAUUUGGGCUCUCUCGGUGCUUUUCUUGAAGAGACCGCAGAGGUCGCCGAACAUUACGUCUACUUCGGGGUUUUGGUUCAAGAUCAUGAUCUGUUUGUCGCUCCUUUGGGGAAUGGCUUGCAGAGUGUAGAGGAUGCCUGACAUAGAUGGGUAGAAGCGUGAUUUGCUGGACUUGAUGCUGUCUUAUUCCUCAUGAAACAAGAAACUUCUUAAUUCUAAUACUAAUGGAUUCCAGUAGAAUAGGAGGAAACAUGAGCCAUAGUCGCCAGAUGGAAGUUCAUUAUAUAGAUACUGGAUUUCCCUACACUGUUACAGAGAGCUUUAUGGAUUUGUUUGAAGGCCUUAUGUAUCCUCAGACCGAUGCCAAUUCAGCAGAAGUUUUUCAGGAUCAGGGAAAUGCAUAUCACUCAACAGUUCAUACAAGCUCAUUCAAGUAUGGGUUUUCUAGUGCAGCUAGUGAUUCAUAUUACAGUUUCGGCCAUGCGUAUGAGAUAAAUUGUUUUACUCCACAAUUAGACGCAGCAAGGAGGAUGUGGGAUGACCCUGCCCCAUUGAACAUAUUUGACUCACCACAACUAUUUCUGCAUGGGAAUUUAGGUGUGGAAACAAGAACACCUAGUGCCGAAGAAUGCAUUCAGGUGCGAGAGAAUACAAAUGAUGGUGCAAAUGGUGGUCAGGCUGUUUGGCAGGACAACAUAGACCCAGACAACAUGACAUAUGAGGAGUUACUUGAUUUGGGUGAGGCAGUUGGAACACAAAGCCGUGGUCUUUCUCAAGAUCAUAUUUCUUCACUUCCUGUCUCGAAAUACAAGUGUGGCUUCUUUUCUAGGAAAAAAUCUCAGGGGGAGAGAUGCAUCAUUUGCCAGAUGAACUACAAGAGAGGGGAUAGACAAAUUACUCUACCAUGCAAGCAUGUCUAUCAUGCUAAUUGCGUGACACAGUGGCUUAGCAUAAACAAGGCAUGUCCAGUUUGCUUGGUGGAGGUCUCAGUUGAGGAGCCUAGGCGUCAAUGAAUUCUAGUUGGCGACUCGCACGGAAGUUUUUGGCUAUUUUCAUCACUUAAAAUUGCAUCUCUUUUUCUUUUUUUUGCUUCCCUUUUCUAUUUCAUCUUCAUGUUUGCAAACAUGGAACUGGACCAGUUACACUGUUCUCCUUCUGUCUGGUGUGGCGCAAGGAUCAUGCUUUUGCAGACCACCCACUUGGCAAUCCAUCUGAUGAGUAAAGGAAGUUAAAGAUUCCUGAAUUCAUUUCCAGAGAAUGCAUGACGGAGGAGUCGUCAUGACGAUAAAGUUCUAACAAGCAGAUGUCCAUCUGCCCUAAUAUUUUGUGGUAUCAAUUCAUAAUAUCAAUCUUGUGUGUUGAAUUGUCCAUCUCAUUGUUGAUCUGUAGCUCCAGAGUCGAUUGGUCUUGGAGAUAAAUCCGAGGUGCCAAAUUUCUUGCCAAGACAAACACUGCAUUAUCUAUGACUGUAGUCGGCACCCAUCUCAUAUUGUUUGCGUGUGUUUUUAGUUUAUUAUUAUUAUUAUUAUUGAAGUCAAGUCAAGCUACAAUUGACUCUGCUGGUUUAGACCCAGUAAUCCUUGUCCUGAAUCCAAGCCUACCUGAUUG